GACAGAGGGUGCAAACGUUGUUCGGAAUUACUGGGCGUAAAGCGUGUGUAGGCGGCCAAGCAAGUCGGAUGUGAAAGCCCCGGGCUCAACCCGGGAAGUGCACUCGAUACUGCUAGGCUGGAGUGUGGGAGAGGUUGGUGGAAUUCUCGGUGUAGAGGUGAAAUUCGUAGAUAUCGAGAGGAACACCGGCGGCGAAGGCGGCCAACUGGACCAACACUGACGCUGAGACACGAAAGCGUGGGGAGCAAACAGG
rnacentral:rRNA from 1 species